AAUAUGUAUUACAUCCCACUUUCCCUAAAUUUCCUCUGCAAAACCUAAGCAACUCACGUCGCUCAACCAUCACAACUCACGUUCUCCCCUUCCACUUCAGUGGGUGACCAUAUGGAACUGCUCAAACUGACGAUGUCAUCUUUUACUUAUCAAACCAACUUCUAUUUAUCAAAUACACCCAUAUUCCAAACCAUCUUCAAAUCAGCUUGCUACUACUAUCAAUAUACGGCUUCUGCAAAGUAUGGCUGACUUCAUCAAGGAUAUCACUAUUUCAAAAAUGCAAUGGAACCUGGUGGUUCGGGUUGUCCGUAUGUGGGAAAUACCAGAUCGUUACAAUGAAGGAACUACUUCGUCCAUUGAAUUGGUACUACAAGAUGAAAAGGGGGAUCGGAUACACGCUACCAUUGGGAAGUCAGUAGUGCAUAAUUUCAAAACAAAAAUUAAUGGCCUUGGAUUAUGUCACAUGGCAAACUUUAUUGUUUGUCCAAAUAAGGAGAAGUUCAACACGACAAAACAUAGUUGAGGCUGAAUUUUACUCUACCAAUAACAGUGGCUGAAAAAACAGAUCAACUUUUCCCAAUGAUAAUCUUUGAUCUGCGACCAUACGAUCAAUUGAUAGGAAAGGUUGAUGUGAAUGAGACUGAAUUAUUCGAUGUGAUCGGAGAAAUCGUCAGUUUUGGUGAGGUACAAAUGCUCAAACGAGAUGGAGUUUCGAGAAAGUUUAUCAAUCUCGAACUAGAAGAUGAUGAGUAAGAAUAAACACAUGUCAUCUGAUUAUGGAUGCUUUUUGUAAUUACAUAUGCUAAAAAAAUAUAUCUAUUCGUAUUUGGCAGGGGGGAACAAUUUGCACGCAAUUGUGGAAAGUACAUAUCCAGAUUUUUUUUAGCCACUGCAGUGACAUAACAUACCUACAACAAAGAGGAAUUCUUGCUCCUACUCUUGACAUGGUUGAAUCAAUCAAUGAACACAUGGUUUGAUUAAACCAUAGUCAAGCAAAAACAUAUUUGAGUUCUGAUACAAUCUGCAUGUCGGACGAUGCUUUUACAGGUUUGGAACACAUACAUACACACAAUUCCUAAACACUAUUAAGUGCUCCGGAAUUCCAAAUCAUGCGAUCACUUUGAAAGUGGGUGUCCUAGUGAUGUUAUUGAGAAAUACAGACCAAGCUUCCGGGCUAUGUAAUGGAACAAGAUUAGUCAUCACUAGACUUGGAAAUAGGUUACCGAAGCAAAAGGUUUAUCCGAAAAUAUGGCUGGAUAAAAGGUUUUCAUUCCGCGAAUGUCAUUGACUCCAUCUGAUGCAAGAAUACCUUUUAAGUUCCAGUGAAGGAAAUUUCCAAUUAGUUGUAUCUUUUGCCAUGAAUAUUAAUAAAAGUCAAGGGCAAUCAUUAUCUCAUGUUGGGUUAUAUUUGAAGAAAUCAGUGUUCACACAUGGGUAGCUUUAUGUUGCCCUAUCACGCGUGACAACAAGAAGGGGAUUAAAGAUUCCGGUGUAUGAUGAUGAUGGAGAAAUUGCAAAUGAAGCAACAAAUGUAGUGUACAAAAAAGUUUUCAGUAAUUUACUUGGAUAAUGAAAGAAAAUCUGAUCUGAAGUUUCAACACGACUGCCUUGAUGCGUCUUUAUUGAACCAUCUUGGAAAUAAGCUUCAGAAGCAAUAGUCGGAAACUUUAAUUGAGUUCUCGCAAAGGAUGUUGAGGUUUACAAGAAAAAAUUGCUCCGUUGAUGGAGGUGGAAUAAGAGAAAACAAAGGACUUUCUGGAGCAAGGUGUGGAUCGGCAAAAGCAGUGGUCUGUAGGAUUAUGACAAGUUAAAGAAGCAGAAGCGACAUCUAUUUGCUCAAUUCUUCUCGCCCAUCCUUCUGAAGGUUAAUAUUUGUUCGGUACUUCUCUACUGUUCUCAAUAUCCGUUCAAAGGCGUCUGAUUGUGAUGCAGUUGAAUGCCAAGUUACGUCUACUCUAAGCUAAUUGGUAUGCCAAAAAUAUGUGAGCCGAUUGUUUUGUUAUGCUAUCUACAUGUAUCUCGGAGACUUAUUAGGAUAUAUUUUGAUUCUGAAGUUCUGUUUAAACUUUAACAGCUUCUUAUCAUAGAAUGAUAUUAGUCAUUCUUUGUCAGUUCUCCAUUUGUUUCUCUGUUUCUCUUAUCCUUUCUUGUAGGGACAUUUUCUAAUGACAAUUGUUUUUCAGGUUACUCUAAAAAUCAAAGUACAAGUUCAAAUUUUUACCUGAAUUAAGGCCCUUAUAAAGAGGACUAGCGAGAUUAGACAUCAGCUGGAAUGAAAUGCUUUACUUUGAUUAUGUCUGUGUCCCUCUUUGUCAGGUUCUAAUCUGAUCGUUGAGGACUUAUUCGAAGGGCAUCCCAUCAGUCAAGGAAAGCUAAAAAGAACUUCUUGGCCAUACCCCACCGCAGGUUUUUGCUGGGGCUUUGCUGGGUAUUGUGGUUGCUUGGAUGUGUUGUCAGGGUUGUUUAAUUGCAAUAUGAUCAGCUUACAUAGGUAAGCUUUCCAAUAACUAGGAGUCAUCCGUUAUAACUGUACAAGAAGCACUAUCUUUUUGUAUGAACGAUUGAUGCUUAUGUUCAUUCCCAAGUAAAAGGGAAAAAAAAAGUUCUGCAGUCAAUUCAAUUUGUUAUCUUUCUGAAUUUGUACUCUGGCUUAUGCUCAAGCUUUUCAGGAUUUAGUGAUCUGCUACGGCAUUAUCUU